rnacentral:rRNA from 1 species
GACGAACGCUGGCGGCGUGCCUAAUACAUGCAAGUAGAACGCACAGUUUAUACCGUAGCUUGCUACACCAUAGACUGUGAGUUGCGAACGGGUGAGUAACGCGUAGGUAACCUGCCUGGUAGCGGGGGAUAACUAUUGGAAACGAUAGCUAAUACCGCAUAAUAUUAAUUAUUGCAUGAUAAUUAAUUGAAAGGUGCAAUUGCACCACUACCAGAUGGACCUGCGUUGUAUUAGCUAGUAGGUGAGGUAACGGCUCACCUAGGCGACGAUACAUAGCCGACCUGAGAGGGGGAUCGGCCACACUGGGACUGAGACACGGCCCAGACUCCUACGGGAGGCAGCAGUAGGGAAUCUUCGGCAAUGGACGAAAGUCUGACCGAGCAACGCCGCGUGAGUGAAGAAGGUUUUCGGAUCGUAAAGCUCUGUUGUAAGAGAAGAACGGGUGUGAGAGUGGAAAGUUCACACUGUGACGGUAGCUUACCAGAAAGGGACGGCUAACUACGUG